CGAAGCCUGACGGAGCAAUACCGCGUGAGGGAAGAAGGCUUUUGGGUUGUAAACCUCUUUUGUCAGGGAAGAAGAAUUGACGAUACCUGAAGAAAAAGCAUCGGUUAACUCCGUGCCAGCAGCCGCGGUAAUACGGAGGAUGCAAGCGUUAUCCGGAAUCAUUGGGCGUAAAGGGUCCGCAGGUGGCGAAUAAAGUCUGCUGUUAAAGACCGGGGCUAAACUCCGGAAAGCAGUGGAAACUGAUUAGCUAGAGUACGGUAGGGGUAGAGGGAAUUCCCAGUGUAGCGGUGAAAUGCGUAGAUAUUGGGAAGAACACCGGUGGCGAAAGCGCUCUACUAGGCCGAAACUGACACUGAGGGACGAAAGCUAGGGUAGCGAAAGGGAUUAGAUACCCCUGUAGUCUUAGCGGUAAACGAUGGAUGCUAGGUGUAGCUUGUAUCGACCCGAGCUGUGCCGAAGCUAACGCGAUAAGUAUCCCGCCUGGGGAGUACGCACGCAAGUGUGAAACUCAAAGGAAUUGACGGGGGCCCGCACAAGCGGUGGAGUAUGUGGUUUAAUUCGAUGCAACGCGAAGAACCUUACCAGGGCUUGACAUGUCGCGAAUCUAGCGGAAACGUUAGAGUGCCUUAGGGAAUGCGAACACAGGUGGUGCAUGGCUGUCGUCAGCUCGUGUCGUGAGAUGUUGGGUUAAGUCCCGCAACGAGCGCAACCCUCGUCCUUAGUUGCCAAUAUUAAGUUAGGCACUCUAGGGAGACUGCCGGGGACAACUCGGAGGAAGGUGGGGAUGACGUCAAGUCAGCAUGCCCCUUACGUCCUGGGCGACACACGUACUACAAUGGUUGGGACAAAGGGCAGCAAGCUCGCGAGAGUAAGCGAAUCUCAUCAAACCCAGCCACAGUUCAGAUUGCAGGCUGCAACUCGCCUGCAUGAAGUAGGAAUCGCUAGUAAUCGCAGGUCAGCAUACUGCGGUGAAUUCGUUCCCGGGCCUUGUACACACCGCCCGUCACACCAUGGAAGCUGGCUACGCCCGAAGUCGUUACCCUAACCCGGUUUUGGGAGGGGGAUGCCGAAGGUAGAGCUAGUGACUGGGGUGAAGUCGUAACAAGGUAGCCGUACCGGAAGGUGUGGCUGGAUCACCUCCUUU
rnacentral:rRNA from 1 species